AUUCUCAAGCUACAGGAGGUCAUAUAAUCUAGGGGUCCUCAAACCACAGGGGGUACCGGUACCGGUCCUUGGCCUGUUAGGAACCACGCAGGACAACAGGAGGAAAUCUGCCGGCAUCUCUCAGAAAGAAUCAACUGAAGUAUUCACCAAGAAAACUGAGCUGACUGAAGAUGAAAAGAAUUACUAAAAACAUCUGAACAAAAUCAACCAAUAUUAUCAGUUCACCUUGCCCCAAUAUGUAAAAGCUGUUUAUCAAUAUCACAAAACUAUGAAACCAUGGAAAAACAUGAAGACAAAUGCUUACCAAGUUAUCCCCACUCUGAGGGAUUUUUAAGAUUCUUGAAUUAACUGCUUCUACUUUACUUUGGUUCGCCUGGAAAAUCUACCUUUUACAGUUCUCUACCAUAUUACUUCAUACUACCAGCAUGUUUGGACAAGCUUAUUGCGAAGGCGGGAAUACUGAGUCAAAGAAGACUGCAGAAUAUUUCCUGAAUUGCGUAUACCCUUCCCAUGAGUUAAUGUUGAAUGUUGGGUUUGCAUUGUGGUUUCAUUAGGUUGAUGAUUACUUAAGAUGUUUUUACCACUGUUUCUGAGUUACAAAAACACGUUUCUUUUCCCCUCAAAAUAAAAUUUCGAGUGAU